rnacentral:rRNA from 1 species
CCUACGGGAGGCAGCAGUGGGGAAUAUUGCGCAAUGGGCGAAAGCCUGACGCAGCGACGUCGCGUGAGGGAUGAAGGUCUUCGGAGCGUAAACCUCUGUCAGCAGGGAAGUACGGUCACUGUGGUAUUCAGCAGUGAAUUGACGGUAUCUGCAAAGGAAGCACAGGCUAACGCCGUGCCAGCAGCCGCGGUAAUACUUAGGGUGCGUGCGUGAAUCGGAAUUACUGGGCGUAAAGCGAUCGGAGGCGGUAUGUCAAGUCAAGGGUGAAAUCGCCGGGCUCAACGGUGGAAGUGCCUUUGAUACUGGCAACCUUGAGUGUGUGAGAGGAUAGUGGAAUUCGAGGUGUAGGAGUGAAAUGCUUAGAUAUCUGGAGGAACAUCAGUGGCGAAGGCGACUAUCUGGCACAUAACUGACGCUGAGGAGCGAAAGCGUGGGUAGCAAACAGGAUUAGAUACCCGGGUAGUC